rnacentral:rRNA from 1 species
GACAGAGGUGCCGAGCGUUAGGCGGAAUCACUGGGCUUAAAGCGUGUGUAGGCGGGCGGGCAAGUACCUUGUGAAAUCCCCCGGCUCAACCGGGGAACGGCUGGGUAUACUGGCGAUCUUGAGCCACCUAGGGGCAGUCGGAACAAGUGGUGGAGCGGUGAAAUGCGUAGAUAUCACUUGGAACGCCAAUGGUGAAAACAGACUGCUGGGGGUGUGCUGACGCUGAGACACGAAAGCCAGGGGAGCAAACGGG